rnacentral:rRNA from 1 species
AGCAGCCGCGGUAAAUUCCAGCUCCAAUAGCGUAUAUUAAAGUUGUUGCAGUUAAAAAGCUCGUAGUUGAAUUUCGGGAUUGACACAUCGGUCGUGCCUUAAGGGGUAUGAACUGGUGUAGUCAAUUUCUCACCUUCUGGAGAACCGCAAUGCCCUUAAUUGGGUGUCGCGGGGAACCAGGACCUUUACUUUGAAAAAAUUAGAGUGUUUAAAGCAGGCAUUUUGCUUGAAUACAUUAGCAUGGAAUAAUAAAAUAGGACGGCAUGAUUCUAUUUUGUUGGUUUCUAGGAUCACCGUAAUGAUUAAUAGGGAUAGUUGGGGGCAUUAGUAUUCAAUUGUCAGAGGUGAAAUUCUUGGAUUUAUUGAAGACUAACUACUGCGAAAGCAUUUGCCAAGGAUGUUUU